CAAGUCGAGCGAGAAAGGGGCUUCGGCCCUGAGUAAAGCGGCGCACGGGUGAGUAACACGUGGAUAACCUGCCUCAAAGUGGGGGAUAACACCGGGAAACCGGUGCUAAUACCGCAUAUUCUGAUGAGAUCUGCGGAUUUUGUCAGGAAAGGAGCAAUUCGCUAUGAGAGGGGUCCGCGGCUGAUUAGCUAGUUGGUGAGGUAAUGGCUCACCAAGGCAACGAUCAGUAGCCGGUCUGAGAGGACGGUCGGCCACACUGGAACUGAGACACGGUCCAGACUCCUACGGGAGGCAGCAGUGGGGAAUUUUUGGCAAUGGGGGCAACCCUGACCAAGCAACGCCGCGUGGAUGAUGAAGUAUCUCGGUACGUAAAAUCCUUUCGACGGGGACGAAACCGCAAGGUUGACGGUACCCGUAGAAGAAGCCCCGGCUAACUCCGUGCCAGCAGCCGCGGUAAUACGGGGGGGGCAAGCGUUGUUCGGAAUUACUGGGCGUAAAGGGCGCGUAGGCGGCUCGCUAAGUCGGAUGUGAAAACUCUGGGCUCAACCCAGAGCCUGCACUCGAAACUGACGAGCUAGAGUUCUGGAGGGGAAAGCGGAAUUCCUGGUGUAGCAGUGAAAUGCGUAGAUAUCAGGAGGAACACCGGUGGCGAAGGCGGCUUUCUGGACAGAAACUGACGCUGAGGCGCGAAAGCUAGGGGAGCAAACAGGAUUAGAUACCCUGGUAGUCCUAGCCCUAAACGAUGGAUACUUGCUGUGAGGGGGAUUGAAUCCCUUCGUGGCGAAGCUAACGCAUUAAGUAUCCCGCCUGGGGAGUACGGUC
rnacentral:rRNA from 1 species